rnacentral:rRNA from 1 species
CCCUUAGAUGUCCUGGGCUGCACGCGCGCUACACUGAUGUGUCCAGUAAGCACCUAACCUCUUCCGAAAGGAACGGGUAACCUUUGCAAAGCACAUCGUGAUGGGGAUAGAUUAUUGCAAUUAUUAAUCUUCAACGAGGAAUGCCUAGUAGGCGCAAGUCAUCAGCUUGCGUCGAUUACGUCCCUGCCCUUUGUACACACCGCCCGUCGCUCCUACCGAUUGGGUGUGCUGGUGAAAUGUUCGGAUCGGCCGUUUGUCGCGGUUUCCGCGGCUCGUGGCUGAGAAGUUCAUUAAACCCUCCCACCUAGAGGAAGGAGAAGUCGUAACA